rnacentral:antisense_RNA from 1 species
GUCUAUGGGCGGGCCUUGGCGAGGAGACCCUUCGGGGUCUGCCGGCAGGGGUAGGUGUCGGUCUGUCAACUUCGUCUUGUGCCCGCUCACCCGU